GAAAGUUUGCUUUCACUUUCCUCUUUCCAAGCGGACUUGUUUGACCCAUUCUCUCUCCCUCCGAUUGGCUGAGAAGAUAAGAUCCAGCUGUGCUAUGGAAACUAUUGUUUCCAAGAAGGAAGUUGGCCUGGUUUUAAAUUGUUUUGCAGAGUCAAAGAAUCAAGCCUGUCUUGCAGCUGUGAAAAAAUCCCUAUUGGUUCUGGAAACGUCCUUUUCUUGGACCUGGAAAGAAGAGAAAAAGAGCUUCCGCGUCACUAGGAUUAAGUGUGAAUGGAGUCCCCCUCUCUCUGGCUUUGUUUCGCAAAUGAAGAUUCAGGAAGGACUCAUCCCGUGCUUUGUACAAGUGCGUUGGUGACUAAAAAGGCCAAUCCGGGAUAAACAGGUCCGGUUGCAGAAAGCACAGUGGAAAGUCUCCUUGGGUGAUGUUUCUGGGUUGCGGAUCUAUACUCCACAUAACCUGACUGAGAAAGAACACAAGGUGCUGCAAGAUCCCUCUGCAUACUGAUGUUCCAGACUAACAUGGCUAUGUCACUGAAUUUUAUAGUAUCUCAAAGUUGUUACUUGCAAAAAUGUUGACUCUGGCU